GGUGGUGUGGUGUAAUGGUAGCACGUGACGUUGUGGAGGUUGGUAUUCCAGUAUGAAUCUCAACGAGACAGGUCCGUUUCAAUCUGGGUUCGAUUCCCAGCACCGCCA